UACGUAGGGAGCAAGCGUUGUCCGGAUUUACUGGGCGUAAAGAGCGCGUAGGCGGAAGCUUAAGUGUGGCCUGAAAGCCCCCGGCUCAACCGGGGAGGGUGGCUGCAAACUGGGCUUCUUGAGGGGGAUAGAGGAAGGUGGAAUUCCGGGUGUAGCGGUGAAAUGCGUAGAGAUCCGGAGGAACACCAGUGGCGAAGGCGGCCUUCUGGGGCCGCCCUGACGCUGAGGGGCGAAAGCGUGGGGAGCGAACGGG
rnacentral:rRNA from 1 species